ACAUACCGGUAUAAAGCGAACCCUUUGACAAGCCUCAUUCUUCUGCGAAUUCUGGGAAACCUUCAAAGUCCCAUUUCGUUUUAUUCCAUUGCAUUGCUUGGAAAAUUCGGAGCUGCCAUUGUAUGAAGCAUUACCGCAUCGAGUCUCUUCGAAAUAUUCAAGCUUCUUCAAAAAAAUCGCUGGUUCCACAUCUGUUAACAAAUCAUGAUAUUGAAGCUGUUCGCGUUGUAUUGUGUGGUACACUGCGUAUUCGCCAGGAGUGAUAUCAAGAUACCAAAGUAUCCUCCAUGUUGCCGAAAACCACCAUGCCCAGUCGAAGAAAGAUACACAUGUCUCUGGGGAGUUGGUAGACAAAAAGUUGCGUGCGUGCCAUACGACAUGAGCAAGAAGGGUAUGAAAUUUCUCUGGAUGGAGCUCUGCCACCGAAAUUUGAGGUGCAGAAUGGUUAAAGAGGAUUUUGUGUGCAGAU